UGUCCAUGUUUUGAUAUUGUAUCCUCAGUAACAGCAACCGUGAACCUCAGAGGCAGCCAAGGGAAAUGUUCCUCCCAUAUGGAAAGUCAGAAGCUGCCAGAGAGGCAAGUGGAGCAUGCAAGACAACUGAUGGCAUAGUCUCAGAACUGACCAUGAAUACUGCUCUCCACUUUCCAUUGACCAAAGCAAGUCCAACGUUGUGGGAAAGGGUCCCUCACCCACAGUGGGAGGUGAGGGGUGUGGACACUUGCCACUUGCUGAUUGAUGACCAAAAUAUCCCAGGUAUAUACCCU
rnacentral:lncRNA from 10 species